CUACGGGACGCUCCAGUAGGGAAUAUUGCGCAAUGGGCGAAAGCCUGACGCAGCGACGCCACGUGUAGGAAGAAGGGUUUCGGCUCGUAAACUACUGUCAGAUGGGACGAGGGAAUAGAUGGUUAAUACCCAUUUAUUUUGACGGUACCAUCAGAGGAAGCACCGGCUAACUACGUGCCAGCAGCCGCGGUAAUACGUAGGGUGCAAGCGUUGCUCGGAAUUAUUGGGCGUAAAGAGUUUGUAGGCGGAAUAGUAAGUCAGAUGUGAAAGCCCGGGGCUUAACCUCGGAAGUGCAUUUGAUACUGCUAAUCUAGAGUUCAGGAGAGGAAGGCAGAAUUCCCGGUGUAGGGGUGAAAUCCGUAGAUAUCGGGAGGAAUACCAGAGGCGAAGGCGGCCUUCUGGACUGACACUGACGCUGAGAAACGAAAGCGUGGGGAUCAAACAGGAUUAGAUACCCGAGUAGUC
rnacentral:rRNA from 1 species